AUUUCCACAUCCUGGUCUUGAACCAAGGAUGAAAAGGAAAACCAAGGAUGAAAAGGAAAUGUUCAGAAAGUACUCUUGGAUCUUAUUAGGCUUCUGACAAUCUUUCGAUAAUCAAGUGGACAUCUGGAAACUGAUAUUAAGGAUAGGUAGAGAAGAAGGAUAUAAAACGGGAUGACAUCACUACAAAGAUACAGCCUCUGCUCUCUGGUUCCCUGCUAUGCCAUGCUGCUCUUGCCACUGCCUCCUACUGGAAAUAAGAUUCUCGAGCUAAAAUGGAUAUGAUGCCUUUGGAGGUUCAGCCUGGAAUGCAGAUUCAGCAACAUGGAAGCUGGAAGAAGAGUAAAUGUGAGCCUCCAGAUCUUUGCUGAAGAGCAAAUUUGCAAACUUGUUUAUAUGUGUUGUCAGGAUCACCAUCAUAAAUUGCUGAAGCCAUUGAAAAACAAUAAAUAGAACCUGCUUCAAGAGGAACUAGUGCCUCUCAUUGGUAUUACCUCUUUCAAGAUGACAGGAGACCUCAAGAGGCC
rnacentral:lncRNA from 1 species